UCCUGGUUAGCUCAGUGGGUACAGCGCUCCUUCAAAAAUGGACAGGUCCCUGGUUCAAUACCAGGACCAGGCG
rnacentral:tRNA from 1 species